GAGGGGUAGAGGAAUUAAACAUCUUAACAGAUGAAAAAGAUUUGCACGGUGCCCAGUGCAACAGAGGCACUCGCCCGACCAAUGAUGCUGCUUGCAUCAGGUCACACGGUCAGGUAUGUCGGGCACAUCCUCAUCUGUAAAGGGGAGGGAGGAGCCUGGCAGGACCCAGCAGACAUGCCAGCUCCCUCUCCUUUUGCACUCCCUGCCCCACAAGGAGCAGAGCCACGGGUGCUGCUCCCGAGAGUGGACACGAUGCAGGGAAGGCGGACUUCCUGCCCAGGAGACAGCACGGGGCGUUGUGAAGAGCUGGAUGAGAAGUCACGGGCACCGGGUCCCAGCGAGCCUCUGCUCUUCCCUGGCUAUGUCACCUCCUCCCACCAGGAAGGACUGGGCAGCAAGCACUCUGUGUCUCUCAAGUUAGGGGCUGGCUUUUUGUCCUUCCUGCUGUUUGUUUUUAAUUUGUAGGCCCUUAAGGCUCUGUGGGAAAUGUAAUUUGAAAAAGCUGAAGAACUAUACUGCUGUCCCCAGCUGCCCCUGGGCCUACCUGGGUUUCCCCUCCCCUUACCUGCCAGUGAGGGAGGCGGCUGCAUUCCUGGGCAGGGACACUGCAGGCCAGCUUCCGUCCUAAGCUGGUGCGGUGGCAGGGGAGGGGUCCUCUGCUACUGCCUCCCGACUCACAGUGCCUGCGGUACCAUCUAAAGAGAAAAAUGUAUUUAUCUGUUUCUAAGACUGAACAGGGCUUCUGCCAGCCUUGGGGAAGGAGCCAAUCUUUCUUAAAACCCAGCCACGUCAAAACUAGGACUUCCCUGUCUGCCUACCAUGCAGGAGACCCGGGUUCAAUCCCUGGGUCGGGAAGAUCUCUUGGAGAAGGAAAUGGCAACCCACUCCAGUAUUCUUGCCAUGGAAAAUCCCAUGGAUGGAGGAACCUGGUAGGCUACAGCCGUGGGGUCGCAAAGAGUUGGACACAAUUGAGUGACUUCAGUCACUCACUCACAUCAAAACUAGUGAAAUCCCCCAUGCUAAAUCAUUAAAGAUUCUCAUAGUCUUACAUUCUUCAGUCAAAGACCAGGAACAACGCUCCCAUGGGUGACAGGUGGAUGAAUUGCUUGUUGCCUAGGAGAAUGGCCUGGGACUUCAGGGCUUGUGGGAGGGAGGGUGCUGCUGGCUGAGGUGGGUCUGGGGAGGUGGGCUUUGCCCUGGAUUGGCUGCUCUGAGGAAGGGUAGGCGAUUUUGUGACCAGGUGUCUCAGUAAACCUCGUCUAUGGUGGUGGUCAGUGGGGGAGCUCAGGACAGAUGAGAAUGGUGAUUGGGGGAAGUCAGUUCUGUGGCCAGGAGAGGGUAGCGGAAGCGUGUCAUCCUUUGGCUUGGGUGAUGUGGAUGCUGCUCUUCGGGUUCAGACGCAGUGGUGGACAGGCUCUCUCUUGAUGGCUGGUCACACGGUGGCCUGGUCUCAGGCUGCCCGUCUGUGUGAUUGCUUACGUUCCGCAGGAGAACACCAAGCUCUGAGGGCCAGGCCCACUCCUGGCUCUCGGGGCUGGUUUUUCUUCCUCGGGGACAAUGUCAGCAGACAAAACUCAGCGCAUGAGGUCUCUCCAGCUAGACCAGCCUCAGGUGCCCCUGUGGAGCCCCUCCUUUAUUUACUUAUAUGUUUGGCAGCUCCAGGUCUUUGUUGCAGCACGUGAGAUCUUCGAGCUUCAUCGCGGCACGUGAACAAUCAGUCGUGGCACGUGGGAUCUGGCCCCCCCACCAGAGGGGGAACCCAGGACCCCUGCACUGGGAUCGUGGAGUCUCAGCCCCUGGACCACCUGGGAAGUCCCUGUGGGCCCCUUUUAUAGUGCCUUUCUCACCCCGCACCCUCUGCCGUCGGGUCUAAGGCUUGGGACAGAAGGUGAACGGGGAAGCACAGCCCUCGCUCUGGGGCUGGGCACAUCAGAGGCCACCUGGAGCCCUGUGACAGCCCGGCCCGCGCUUCUAGCCGGAAUGGGAAUCGGAUCCCGAAGCAUGAGCUGUCUGGUGUGCUUGGCCAUUACAGAGACCCUCGGCAGGAGGGAGCCCUUGAAGUCACUUCUCUGCAGCCCACCCUCACCCCUGGAGGAGCCACAGCUGCAUCUGAAACAUCAGAAAGGCAGCUCCUGGGGUGGGGGAGUGGGGAGGUGCUGGCGGCAGUUGGGGGAAGAGGCAUGGUGGAAUAAAUGGGAGCAGGGGUGACA
ensembl:lncRNA